rnacentral:rRNA from 1 species
UACGUAGGGGGCAAACGUUGUCCGGAUUUACUGGGCGUAAAGAGCGUGUAGGCGGCCAGGCAGGUCUGUUGUGAAAACUGGAGGCUCAACUUCCAGACGUCGACAGAAACCGCUUGGCUAGAGUCCGGAAGAGGAGAGUGGAAUUCCUGGUGUAGCGGUGAAAUGCGCAGAUAUCAGGAAGAACACCGAUGGCGAAGGCAGCUCUCUGGGACGGUACUGACGCUGAGACGCGAAAGCGUGGGGAGCGAACAGG